GUCCAUGGCCAUACCACCCUGAACUUCCCAACCUCGUCUUAUCUCAGAAACUAAGCAGGGUUGGGCCUGGCUAGUGCUUGGAUGGGAGACAUUGUGAUGAACACCCUUAUCUAUAAAUU
rnacentral:rRNA from 1 species